rnacentral:rRNA from 1 species
AUACGUAGGGGGCGAGCGUUGUCCGGAAUUAUUGGGCGUAAAGGGUUCGUAGGCGGUUAUUUAAGUCAGGUGUGAAAGGCGCAGGCUCAACCUGUGUAAGCACUUGAAACUGGGUAACUUGAGUUAAGGAGAGGAAAGUGGAAUUCCUAGUGUAGCGGUGAAAUGCGUAGAUAUUAGGAGGAAUACCAGUGGCGAAGGCGACUUUCUGGACUUAUACUGACGCUGAGGAACGAAAGCGUGGGGAGCAAACAGGAUUAGAUACCCUGGUAGUCCACGCCGUAAACGAUGAGUGCUAGGUGUUGGGGGUCAAACCUCGGUGCCGCAGCUAACGCAUUAAGCACUCCGCCUGGGGAGUACGUACGCAAGUAUGAA